CUGUUUUGCUCUUGCAUCUGGGGUGGUCAGCCGGGGGCUCUGCUGGUCAUGGCUGGAGUCGCACACACGGCUGGGGCUUGGCUGGCUGCUGGCCGAUCUAGGCUGGCCUGGUCAGGAGGAGUCAGGCCUCUCAGUCUGGUCCACGAGCCCCUCAUCCGCCAGGCUAGUUUAUUCGUGUGCUUCUCACAGUGACAGUGGGGGCAGGAGGGAGUAAGCGCAGCCCCUUGAAGCAUUUCAAGCCUUCGUGGGGAUCACGGGUGCUGACGUCUCGCCGGCCAAAGCCUGCAGCGUGUGGUCCCGAGUCCGUGUGGGAGGGCGCUGCAGGGUCACGGGGUACCAUGUUCAGAAAACGCUGGGGAUCUUUGAUUCAGCGAUCCCGCCGCCAGCAACUUUGUAUCCUAAGGAAGUCACCGGGCAGUGGACAAAGACGUGUGCACAAGGAUCCUCCUCCGGCCAGAGGCUGCAACCCUCAAUGGACAUCAGUCAAAGGCCAGUUCUUAGAGGAUUUUAAUUUACCCCUAGGGUUCAAAGUCAGAAUUCAUGCAAUCGUGGUCAUCUUUUCAUUAUUUUGUCUAUAACGUGGUGAUGAUUUUCAAGACACACUCUCAAGGUUUUUUAAACUCAGACAUUUCUUCCUAUUGCAUCUUUGACUAAUGCUGGAGCUACAAUGACCGCCUCUCAGGAUGGAGAUUGUAAUUAACUGAGAUUCACCCCACAGUGCAAUUAGGAUGCCUAUUGUUAGAUCCAACACCUGCGAUCUUCCAGAGUACACGAGACAUUUCCACCUCAGUGAAAGAGGCUGCGAGACUCAACUUGAACCUCUAGGAAACCACCAGGCUUUUGGUCUCAUCCGAAACAACCGCCGACUCUCAUGGAACAUUCUGCGACUAGAGAUACGCGUUCUGAACUUCCAAUGAGUGAGAAAGCAUAAAAAUUCAGCAACUGAUGAACUCUUUCUUUCUACAAGUGCAAUUAGCCCAGCUAAGUAACUAUAAACAGGAGAAAAGAGGACCUCUUAAGAGAGGAAGAACUUUUCCAAGCAGUUAUUAAAGACCCAUCUACAAAUUAUGUAUAUGCUAAUUAUAAAUCAGGCACUCUAGAAACGCCCAUUGAUAAAUGAUUUCUAUGCAGAUUAUAAAUGACUUCAGGGAGCUCAUUCACAACCGGAUCUGCACACCAAUUACAAACCAAGCAACUUAAAGGUACACCUACACAACUCGUGUAUGUGCUAAUUACAAAGACGCUUUAGAGAUUCUCAUUUACCAAUCAAGUAUGUGUGCACUGCCCACUAUAUACUUCAUAAAAUCCUACGCACCGAUGAUUUUAUGCUAAUUACAUGGCAAGUAAUGUGAAAUGCAUAUUUACAAAUAAUCCAUGUGCUAAUUACACUGCAAACACUUUAAAAACACUAGUGACCACAUGAUUUGUGUGCUUCAUGACAUAGCAAACACCUUAGAAACACCCAAGUAUCAAUGAUUUAUGUCUAAUUACACACUUGACACUUCAGGAAUGCCCAUGUGCAAAUGAUUUAUGUGCUAAUUACACCAAUACUUAAUGUGAAACAACAAAUGACUCGUAUGCUCGCCACAAAUCCAACCACUUACUUGCAUGUGAUUUAUGUCCUAAUUACUAGCUGUCCCCGUGUGUUUCCUUUAAGGACCCAUUGUCAUCGACAGACUGACAGCUUUCUUCUGAUUGGUAGUCAUUAUGAAUAUAAACAAAAUUUGAGCCUGUAAUGAAAAGAUUUUAGGAGCCUGUCUUUAUCCUCCCCUCCCCCCUCAACCCACCCAAUUAUCAGGGUAUGGUCACAUUUGGGGUGCUGCGACUCUGAGGACCCAUCUCUCAGAGCCGGCUCAGAAGCAUUGUCUAGGGUGAGAAUAUUCUCUUCUCUUUGUCUGUUUGGAACCAUCCAAAGAAGUUGAUGAAUGCAGUACAGGUGCCUACUAGCCACUCAGACUGUGCAACCAUCUCGCACAUUCACCGGGGUCGUCGCUGUCUUCAGUUUAUUUAUACAUCAAUGUCACCGCCACCACUCCCUGCUUCUGUCCCCUCUAGCAUGGGACGGCUUACAAAAGGUUUCCAUGUCCAUUAUCUUAUAGACUUGCAUCUCAUAAAAGAGAGAGAAAUCAAGAAUAAAGAUUAGAAUUUCCCAUUUCACAGAGGGGAAAAGUGAGGCUCAGGGUGGCGAAGCCGCAUUUCUCCUGCCAGACCUAGUUCCAACGUCUGCCAGACGCCCCAGCCGAGGUCCUUCUCCCGCCUGGUCCCCCAGGUGGCAUUUCCUCCACAGCAAACCUCCAGCUGUCACCCUCGCAGGAGCCUCCAGAACUGAAACACCCUCCCCGCCCACAGACCCCGUCCCGUGCCCGCUCCGCUCCCGGCAUCCUCAGGCCCCCAGGCCGCUCCCCCCACACCGUGCUGGCUUUCCCAACCGGAGUGGGGGCUCUGGCACGCGUCUCACCUCUUUAAGAGUGAAAAUGUAUAUCCCUGAGAUUGCAGCUUAAUUGACUGAUUAAUAACAGAAAACCUAAUUGAACGCUCCCAGCUUGUGUGUACGACGUCUUAAUGUCAGAGCCUUGGGAAUCGUCGCGCAGCAGGGGCGUCUGAACUGAAGCACGGCUCCAGCACUUUCCAUUUAAGAGUCAAUCUCAUUAUCGGAGAAGCUGUUCCCUUGAUCCCCCUGGAAAAGCCCGUGCUCUCAAACCAGACGCCCCUCGUGCCAGCCUCCUCUGCUCAGUGCUGUCUGCGGGCGGCGCAGGGCCCAGGGGGAGUCCUUCUCGCUCCCUCUCUCUUUCUCCUCUUGAGCGUGUGUUCUCCCCUUUGCAUAUCUGAGCAGCUCAGCAAAUACUCGUGAGGUGCCGCCGUGGGGUCUGUGAAGAGCACAGACGUGGGCCCUGGGAGGUGACGGGUAAUUCGACAUCGCCAGCACUGAAGGGCGAGCGGGAUGGAAAGAUGUCCCCAGGUCAGGCCUGGAGCUCCGGCUGCUCCUUUCACAUUCCUGCUUCGGGGUGGCCUGGCUGGGGGUCUCCCGGUGCUCAGAGAGCCCGGGCAGGUUUCUCGGCUGGGCUCGGAGCAAGGAGGGAGGAGCGGGUGAGGGCCGCCUGGACCAUAACCUGGUGCUGCCACCCGCUAGUCACUCACAGCACCUCUGUGGCAGGGCUGCGGCCUCCUGGGCCUCUGCACCAGUCAGCCCGGGCUGCUGUGACAAAGCACCACAGGCUGGGAGCUUACACAAGAGAAACGCGUUCUUUUGCGGCUCUGGAGGCCACGAGGCCAAGAUCCAGGUGUGGCCAGUUUGGGCCUCUCGCCUUGGCUUGUGGUUGGCCACCUUCUGGCCACCUCCUCCCACAGUCUUUCCUCUGUGCUCGCACCCCUGGUGUCUCCGAGUGUCCAUAUUUCCUCUUCUUACAAGGACACUAGUUAGACUGGGUUAGGGCCACCCUGAUGGCCACAUCUUAACUUAAUCCCCUCUUUCAAGGCCCUGUCUCCAAAUACAGUCGCAUUCUGAGAUACUGGGCCUUAGGACGUCAACACACGAAUUUAGGGGUGCACAACCCAUCCCAUAAUGGCACCUCCACUUGGAUGGCGCCGAGACCCUCCAGCUCAAUGUGCCCACACUCAGCCGCAUGACUCUGCAUCCCUGCCUAGCCCCCUGGUCCCUCAUGCGCUCACCUCCGGCCCCAUCCCACUCCACCCCCUCCCACGGACCUGACUCCCCAGCCACCACAGCCCCCAGCCCGUUCCCCUCACCUCCUCUCCUGCUUCCACUGCAGCCCCCAGCUGCCUCCCCAGAACCCGCCGGCAGCCCAUUCUGCAGAGCAGUGAUGGGGGCGCUUCCACAGUGCACGUCUGACUGUGCACCUGCCCCUGCUCAAGCCCCCCACCGUGCCCUCUGCUCCCCCACCAGCCCUGCGGUCCUCACAUCGCUGACUCCCGGCAGGCCUGUGAGGUCCUAGCCACAUCUCGGCCUGCUCGGCCUUCUCUGACCAGCCAUCAGGGUCCAGUCCUGGUCCAUUUCUCCUCUCUCUGCACCAUCUCCCUGGACGCGCUCAUCCGUCUCUCCAGCUUCCGUGCCUGCUGGAGGCGGGCUGCUGGCGGCUCAUGGAUCAUCCCUGGGUCCAGACCCCUCAGCCCGAGAGACCCACGUGCCUUAGUCCACGAUGCAUGGUCAGAAUAACACCCUCACAGAGCAAUAUUUGUACUGAGAUCCUAGGGAAGGAGAACUGACUGUUAUCACUUUAUUCUCUUUGAAAGAACCUGCCGGCCAUCUCCCCAGUGAACAGUCACCCGGGGGGGAAACUUUUGGAUCAUAGGAGAGCCACAUACAUGGUCCCUCCAGUUAACGUGACGGACACCCACUGCUCGGGACAGAGCUGAGGCAGAACCACUGACACGUGAAUCCCCAUCCUCCCCCCGCAUACUUCUCAAUGAUCGAGGAUCAAUCCACAAUCGUGGGAAAGGAAUCCCACAAUCCACGGGAAAUCCAUGCGAAAGGAGCCUCCUGAUGGGAAAAGGGUUGGGACCUGGACACAUUUCCUUUCAAGAUGCAGCUUGAAGUUCUCUGCAGGACCGGGAGGUCCUGGAGUGAGGGAAGUGGCUGGUGAGCACAUGGAGGGCCCUGGGGUGGACUCCGCUGUGAAGGAACAGGGUCUGGUCCAGGGAUGCAGCCCCCCCGUAACGUCCAGGCGUUUGGGGAGAGGAGCUCUGGCUGAAGACGUGGGCUCUCUGGCCGCAGCCUCCUAACCUGAUUGUUUCUAAAACACAAGUGCCCACCUGGGGUGUGAGGGACUGAGGGGUGGCUGUGGCCCCUAAGACCCUUUGCCUGGGGCCUUGAGCCUGGAGCGUCCCCACGUCUGAGCAGGGAUCCGGAGCAGCAUCCUCAGGGGCCCUGGGCUGCACCUGGCUCGUGCUCAACAGCACCACCUGGUGGGGACCAGAUGCUGGAGCCGGAUAGUUCACGGAUGGGACUCUUGGAUUUCUCUGCCCGGCUUCAGAGGCAGCAAGGACCUGCUCAGAUCAUACCUCUCGGACAAUUUGGACAACUCACUGGCAAAGGAAAACGCUUCAAGGGAGCGGACAGAAGGGCUGGACUUCCUGGUAAAUUUGAAGGUGGAGGUUUGGUUGAUAAAUUUGAAUAUUGAAGGGAGACUUUGGUUGCACACAAGAUUUCCAAGUGGCCGAUAAUUAUAUGAAAAUGGAUCAACAUCAUUAGUCAUCAAAAAAUGCAAAGGAAAAGCACAAUGGCCUGUCCCCACACAUCUUCCAGAAUGGCUGCAAUCAGAGGUCGGACGCCGUCAAGUGUUGGGAAGAUAGGGAGCAAGUGGAACCCCCAGACCCACCAGUGGGAGUGCCCCCUCGUUCAACCACUUCAGGAGACAGUUUGGUGGCAGCUACAAGAGCUGAAUGUGUACACUGCGACUCAAGAAUUUCAUUUCUGGGUCACUAAGUGUAUAUACACAGAAAUCCAUAUUUUUUUCAUUAAAGGACCUAUAAGAACAUUCACGGCAGCCCUAUUCAUGAUGGCCUGAGACUGAAAACUACCUAAAUGCCCAUCCAUGGGUGAAAGGAUAAACAUAUUGUGGUAUAUCCCUAUAAUGGAACAUUACUCAGAAAAGAAAAAGAGAGAGAAGAAUCAGAAGAAGGGAAAUGAAGAGGAGAAACACCUGACAGAGUCAUCAUGUUGAGCAAAAGAAUCCAGACACACAUGAAAGAGUCCAUACUGAUGGAUUCUGUUUAUAUAAAGUUCAAGAACUGGCGAAAUUAACGGAUGGUGGGAGAAGGUAGAAUGUGGCUCCCUUUGGGAGGAGGAACAUUGACCAAGAUGAGCACACGGGAGACUCUGAAGCCCCUGCGAUAUUCUCAUCUGGGUCUGGGUGGUAGUUGUAUGGCUAUUGCUGUGGACAGAAUUGUGUCACCCCAAAAUUCAUGUGUUGAAACCCCAGUGUGACUGUAUUUGGAAAUAAGACGUUUAGGAGGUAAUUAAGGUAAGUGAGGUCCUAAGACUGAGAAGGUCACAAUAGGAUCACCGUCCUUAUAGGAAGAGACGCCAGGGAGGGCUCUCUCUCUGUCCGCACACAUGCGCCAAGGACAGGCCCUGUGAGCCACAGUGAGAAGGCAGCAACUGUCACCAGGAAGACAGUGUCACCAGGGACAGAAACGGCCAGUGCCUUGAUCUUGGGUCUCCCUGCCUCCAGAUCUGGGAGAAAAUAACUUUCUCAUGUUUCAGCCACCCAGUCUGUGGUGUUUUGGGGUUUUUUUUUUUUUUUUGAAGAUCGGCCCUGAGCUAAAAUCUGUUGACAAUCUUUUUUUUUUCUUCUCCCCAAAGCCCCCCGGUACCUAGUUGUGUGUUUUUAGUUGUGGGUCCUUCUAGUUGUGGCAUGUGGGAUGCCGCCUCAGCAUGACAUGACGAGCAGUGCCAUGUCCACAUCCAGGAUCCAAACCCGCAAAACCCUGGGCCACCGAAGGGGAGCACGUGACCUUAACCACUCAGCCACGGGGCCAGCCCCUGUGGUGUUUUUCUAUGCACCCAAGUGGACUGAGACAGGCAUAGACACAUGUGACACUGCAUCCAGCAACUUGCGCCUUUUCCUCUAUGUAAGUUGUACUUCAAUGUCAAAGUAAGUAAAAAAGAAAGAGAAAGGACCAGCGUGACCUCGUUGUCGUCCCCCAGCCGAGGAGUGGAUGCUGUGGGCUGUCUGUUAUCAUGCCCGCUCGGCUGAUGAGGAAAAUGAGGCUGAGGAUGGGAAGACGCGGCUGCCGUGGCAGAGCCGGGUACACGAGCCAGGUCAGCUUGGUGAACACUGGUCGGGGGACCCUCCGCCGAGCUCUGUGCUGGACAAGGGGGUCGUGACGUGCAGGGCCCCGGUGGCCCUCCAGGAGGAGCCCGGGCCUGACGGGUAAUUAGGAAUUUACAACACAGUGGUGUGGUCCACACUCUGAUGAACUCGGCAAGGUCAGGGGAGCACCACAGGCCCCUCAGCAGCCCAGGAUGCCAGGAAGAUGGGGCUUCUGAGCACGACAUCAGGGGCGGCCAGACAGAGUCUGCAUCUCGACCCAAACCCCAAGUCUGUCCAGGGAGGCCUCUGAGCCCUGCUCCUUAAAGUGGGGUUCACGGGCCAGCAGCAUCCGUGUCCCCUGGGGGCUUGCUGGGAAGGCAGACUUGUGGCCCCACCCAGAUGGACGCCAUGAGGACCUGCAUUCUAGCGAGCUCCGUGGGGAAGGCGCAUUCACGCUGGAAAAGCGCUACUGUGGGUUUUGCAGGACUCGGGGAGCCGGAAGAGGUGCGAACAGGAGCAGCGCCCUCCUGAAGGACUGAAGCCCCUCUCCCCAUCUGGGCUGCGAACGCUUUUGAGCGCCCAGCCCGGGAGGCCCACUGAUCCCCCACUGACUCAGGGAACUGGGUCCCUGGGGACUGUGUGUCUACACUCCUCCUCCAUUUGGCGCGUCGGGACCCAGCGGAGGUGCGAGCGCACGAUGGGGCCAUUAGAGUGUUGAUGGGAAAAUGGGCUGCUUACGUGCGACAAAGGGGGGCCUCUCUGCUCAGACACCUUAGACAAAGAAGACUUUGGGGGGGCUGGGUGGCUAAUUACCUGAUGUGUAGCAAGGUGCUCACCCACAGGGCCGUUGAGCUCAGUGAAUAAAGCGAUUUGCCUGGCCUUUUGUCCUUCUCUUGUAGUGACUUCUCGGCUGAUGCAGGUUUCACACAAAGAGAAAGUUACAGGCAGCCCGGUUCCUGCAGCUCAGCAACCCGGAGGGAGCCGGGCCGCUCAGCUCCCGCCAGGCCGGCCCUGGAAAAGGUGGGGCCGCACCUGGCCCCUGGGGCUGUGGACCUCAGGGUGUGAGAAGAAGGGCACACACUUGCUGGGGAUCCAAAGAACUAAUUUAAACAACGUCGUGUGUGUAAAACGGGCUUAGUAAUAUGGCAGGCUCCAUUUAAAGGAUAGGGGCUAUUUUCUUGGACCUGAUAACUGAAAUUUAGUGGGGGUGUUUUUAUUUCAAAAUACACACCCUUGGACAACAAGGGUGUCCAGUCACUCCCCCGGCCAGAGGCUGAGGGGUUUCCUGGGACACAGGACUUUCAGGGCUAAAUUCAGGACAGUUCCGGGAAAACUGGACAGUUGGUCACUCGACUAACAAUGCUGGGCCUGGCCCUGUUCCAGGCUCUGGGGACACAGCCAUGAGCAAGACUCAGACACUGUCCUCUGGGGGCUGAGGGCCUGAUGGGGGGAAAAGAAAAGAAACGAGCAAACAAGCAAAAGAGUUGCAGUGAUAAGUGUUAGGCAGGAAAGAAAGAGCUGGAGGGGGUGGUCCAGGAAGCCUUCUCUGAGGUCUGGGGGAUGAUUUGGGUCAGCCAUUUGAAGACAUGUGGGUGUGAUGGUUGAGCGAGAGAGAAGUGGGAGUUCCUGGAAGAUGCAGCAGCAAGUGCAAAGGUCCUGAGGCAGCACAGCAGUUGGGGUGUGUGAGAAACCAGAGGGAAGCUGGUGUGGCUGGGUGUGUGUGUGCGUGAAUGUGUGUGUGUGUGCACUCACAUCUGCUGUGGGGCAGUGAGAGGAGAUGCAGUUGAGGCUGAAGAGGUGAGCAAAGACCAGACCAUCCAGAACUCACAGGUCACGGCAGGAGUUUGAAUUUUGCUCCCCAUGCAGUAGAAAGCACUGAAGGGUUAAGCUUGCUGUUCUUUUCUCUAACGUCUCAAGUCAAGGACUUUUCUCCUACAGUCUCUCUUCUUUUACAACCAGUGAAUUGCAAGUCUAUAUCUCUGCCACUAAGUACAGCUAUAGCUGCUUUACAUAAUUUUUUUUGCAUGUUUUUAUUAGCAUUCAGGACUAAAUAUUUGCUAAAUUCUAUCACCGUGUCUUCUUUGACUAUCUAAAAGUGUCCAUUUCUAAACGUAUGGUGAGGAGGAAGGUGCCUAACUUUUUUCUUUUUUUCCAUUUUUGUCAAAACUUCAAUGCAGAUUCUUUGAAAGAUACUGAGACUUGCCCUGUGGCCUGGUGUGUGGUAAAUAUUUCAUUUGUGGCUGAAAGUAUUUUGCAUUCUCUGAUCAUCUGAAGACAGGUAUCUACAGACAAGAUCACCAGUUUUGUUGUUCAAGUCUCCUUCCAAUUUCCUUAUUAACUUUCUGUCUCCUUGAUCU
ensembl:lncRNA